GAAUUUUACGGAUUUGCUAACGUAUUAUUAAUUGAGUAACCUUUUUCAAAAUUGUCCCUAAUGCUGUGAAACCAAUACUAAUUUCAACACAAAUAACUAAAACUUUAAUUAUCUUCUUUUUCAUUAGCUUUUAUCUCGAAAACAAAAAU
rnacentral:misc_RNA from 1 species